rnacentral:rRNA from 1 species
GACGAACGCUGGCGGCGUGCUUAACACAUGCAAGUCGAACGGUAAGGCUCCAGCUUGCUGGGGUACACGAGUGGCGAACGGGUGAGUAACACGUGGGUGACCUGCCCUGCACUUCGGGAUAAGCCUGGGAAACUGGGUCUAAUACCGGAUAGGACCGCACCGUGAGGGUGUGGUGGAAAGUUUUUUCGGUGUGGGAUGGGCCCGCGGCCUAUCAGCUUGUUGGUGGGGUAAUGGCCUACCAAGGCGGCGACGGGUAGCCGGCCUGAGAGGGUGGACGGCCACAUUGGGACUGAGACACGGCCCAGACUCCUACGGGAGGCAGCAGUGGGGAAUAUUGCACAAUGGGCGGAAGCCUGAUGCAGCGACGCCGCGUGGGGGAUGACGGCCUUCGGGUUGUAAACUCCUUUCACCAUCGACGAAGGGUUUCUGACGGUAGAUGGAGAAGAAGCACCGGCUAACUACGUGCCAGCAGCCGCGGUAAUACGUAGGGUGCGAGCGUUGUCCGGAAUUACUGGGCGUAAAGAGCUCGUAGGUGGUUUGUCGCGUCGUCUGUGAAAUUCCGGGGCUUAACUCCGGGCGUGCAGGCGAUACGGGCAUAACUUGAGUACUGUAGGGGAGACUGGAAUUCCUGGUGUAGCGGUGAAAUGCGCAGAUAUCAGGAGGAACACCGGUGGCGAAGGCGGGUCUCUGGGCAGUAACUGACGCUGAGGAGCGAAAGCAUGGGGAGCGAACAGGAUUAGAUACCCUGGUAGUCCAUGCCGUAAACGGUGGGCGCUAGGUGUGGGUUUCCUUCCACGGGAUCCGUGCCGUAGCUAACGCAUUAAGCGCCCCGCCUGGGGAGUACGGCCGCAAGGCUAAAACUCAAAGGAAUUGACGGGGGCCCGCACAAGCGGCGGAGCAUGUGGAUUAAUUCGAUGCAACGCGAAGAACCUUACCUGGGCUUGACAUAUACAGGAUCGCGCCAGAGAUGGUGUUUCCCUUGUGGCUUGUAUACAGGUGGUGCAUGGUUGUCGUCAGCUCGUGUCGUGAGAUGUUGGGUUAAGUCCCGCAACGAGCGCAACCCUUGUCUUAUGUUGCCAGCACGUUGUGGUGGGGACUCGUAAGAAACUGCCGGGGUUAACUCGGAGGAAGGUGGGGAUGACGUCAAAUCAUCAUGCCCCUUAUGUCCAGGGCUUCACACAUGCUACAAUGGUCGGUACAGUGGGUUGCCAGUCCGUGAGGGCGAGCUAAUCUCGCAAAGCCGGUCUCAGUUCGGAUCGGGGUCUGCAACUCGACCCCGUGAAGUCGGAGUCGCUAGUAAUCGCAGAUCAGCAACGCUGCGGUGAAUACGUUCCCGGGCCU